UGCUCUCAGCCCAUCGCUGAGGCUGGAGUCCCGGAGGACGGGGGUCUGCCUGCUUCCCUGGCCGUGUGUGUCAUCGCCGAGCCCACUGGAGCCCAGGAGGAUUCAAGAAGAAGUGGAUUGGGAUGCUGCUCUCACCCCCUACUCUAUCCCUGAUCGAGAAAACCAUCUAGGGAAAGCAGAAAGGGCCAGUCCCGGUUUGGCAGAAAGGAUUGUGUUUGGUGUGGGGGUGGAUUCACAGAACGCUCAGAUAAGCAAAUUGUAGCUUAAGCAAACAAGGGUUUAUUUGAAGCAUAUUAUAAGAAGUGAAGACGGAAGGGUUUCAGACUUUGUGCAUUGGCUCCGUUUGGUCACACUGACCCAGAAUCUCUUUUUCCGCAUCCUUGUUGGCAUUUGUCUGCAUCUUGGUUGCAAGAUGGCUGCUGUUCCUCCAGGUAUCACGUCUGUGUUCCAGGGGCUGAAAGUGAGUGAUGCUUGGACCCUGGAGGACAGCCAGCAAGGAGAUGGAGACCCUGGUCCUGCAACCACACAGGACUGAAUUCCGAUGGCCUGAAUGAGCUUGGAAACAGGAGUUACGGUGUCGAGGAGGUCAUGGAGUGAGUAUGACCCAGGCUGACCCUAGAGCUGGCCCUGGGACAGUGAAAAGAGGCCAUCUGGACAUUGACCAUGUCUGACCCUGCGGAGGCCUCGAUGAACUAGAAGAUUCUGGAGGGCAGAGCCCAGGUGCCCUGGUCAUGUGGCACUCAAGACAAGCCAUGGGUGGACGUCCCUGAUUAUUAAAACCACCACCACCACGUAUCCACAGUGGCUUCUCGCUUCCAUCCCUCCUUGCCUUCCGUGUACCAGCCAGUUCAGAUCUCACCAGGAAUGUCCCUGUGGUUGCCAGGCAGCACCGGGUCCUGAGAUGACCAGGCCAAUUUCCGUUCACACGUAAGACACUCGUCUAAAAUAGCCAUUGGCUCACCUUAAAAAAGGUUAUUCCUUCAAAUAAAUCAAAGAACUAUCUGCGAAUGGUAGGUACGUUCGUAGCAAACCCUCUGAUUAGACAAUGAACAGAGUGUAAGUUUGUAGACGCUGGGGGUCGGCGAAGAUGACAGGUUCAGAAGCCACAUCCUUUUUCAGGAUAGCCAAGAUCCUGAGUGACCAGAUGCGGUGUCACCGGGAGUCCGGAAGGGACAGAGGGUGAUGGGGAUUCAGGCAGGCGGUGGACCAUUCCUGAGAUGGGCAAGAACCUCAGAGACAAGGGAACCUGGACCGUCACUCUGCAGCAUGACUGCAACCUCCCACCUGCCGCCGAUGUGGACACGAACACACGACAAACCCACUGGCCAAGUCCCGAAUCUCUGCAGCGGCAUUGCCAACAGUGAAUUUUGUUCCCGGUCAUGUGAUGCUAGGACCUCGGUCAUCUGCUUGAAGGAACGCCCCCUGAUGGCAGGGACUGUGGCGCUUGUUCACUCCUGUAGCCCCAGUGCUUAGCACCAUAUUUGGCCCAAAUUACAUGCUCAACACAGUUGUUGAAUAAGAAGUUAAUAAAGCAGCCACUGCUCGGAGUCUGGAAACACAGGUCUGGAGGGACCCACGGGGCUGAGUCAACUAGAGCAGGUGUCAGGCAGUAAGAAGAGGUGGGGAGUGUGGCAAAACGACACACACCACCCAGGUUUAAAGGUGGCCAGUGUUUGACCCUGGCCGAUGGCUGCCAUGUGCGAGUGGAGAUCCCGUGUCACUAAACUGACUGAAAUGUGUGUAAAAUAUCCUGAUGUGUAAGUGUUGGCCAAUUUCUUUAAAACAUGAACUAAGCUUUAAAAAACAACAACAGGGCUGGCCAA